GAAAGACCUUGCGGCAAGGGUAGAGGUGUGAACCGAGUCAGAUCGGGAACGAAGCAGCUCUAAGCAUUGUCUACUCUGUGCUGUAAGUUAGUAUAAAUUU
rnacentral:SRP_RNA from 1 species